GAUGAACGCUGGCGGCGUGCCUAAUACAUGCAAGUCGAGCGAACGGACGAGAAGCUUGCUUUUCUGAUGUUAGCGGCGGACGGGUGAGUAACACGUGGAUAACCUACCUAUAAGACUGGGAUAACUUCGGGAAACCGGAGCUAAUACCGGAUAAUAUUUUGAACCGCAUGGUUCAAAAGUGAAAGACGGUCUUGCUGUCACUUAUAGAUGGAUCCGCGCUGCAUUAGCUAGUUGGUAAGGUAACGGCUUACCAAGGCAACGAUGCAUAGCCGACCUGAGAGGGUGAUCGGCCACACUGGAACUGAGACACGGUCCAGACUCCUACGGGAGGCAGCAGUAGGGAAUCUUCCGCAAUGGGCGCAAGCCUGACGGAGCAAAGCCGCGUGAGUGAUGAAGGUCCUCGGAUCGUAAAACUCUGUUAUUAGGGAAGAACAUAUGUGUAAGUAACUGCGCACAUCUUGACGGUACCUAAUCAGAAAGCCACGGCUAACUACGUG
rnacentral:rRNA from 1 species